GGCCCUGCCACGAUCUUACCCAGGAGACCCACUCCAAGAAAAGGGAAAAGACACCGUGUGGGGGUCACUGCCGCCCACAAGAACUGGCUGGAAUGUCCCUCCGGUGGUCAGAGGAGAUGAGUGUGGCCAUCAGCUGUGUUGCAAUGCCCUACUGCCCACUGGGACUCCGGCAGGAGUGCUGGCUACUCGCUACACAGUCCUGGCUUGCUGUUUUUCUACUUGGCCUCCCCACUUCUCGCCCAGUGUCCCACAGCGUCCUCUUCAUCUCUACUGGUGACAUCACUUGAGGAAAAGCCCAGAGUUGCCUUCAGCACUGUGGGCCUGACAAAACAGAAGAUGGGGGACUUCCCUGGUGGCUCAGUGGUGAAGAAUCUACAUGCCAGUGCAGGAGACAUUGGUUCAAUCCCUGAUCCAGGAGGAUCCCAUGUGCUGCAGAGCAACUAAGCCCAUGUCCCACAACUACUGAGUGUGUGCUCUCGAGCCUGGGAGCCCGCAACUACUGAGCCCAGGUGCCCUAGAGCCCCUGCUCCACACUAGAGAAGACACAACCAAAGAGUAGCCUCCACGCUCAGCAACUAGAGAAAAAGCCAUACAGCAAUGAAGACUCGGUGCUGUAAAAAAUAAAUCCUUUUUUUUUUUUUAAAAAGAAGACGGGGACCCAGUCCUGAGCAGGGGGCACUCGUCUCCCUGUGCUUGUCUGGGGAACCCUGGCUGAGCCGUACAGGGGUGCUGGUUUAGACCAGGUCAGGGCUGACGCCUGGGGAGUGGGGGCAGCUCCGCUCCAACCAUACAAGCACACGGCAUAACCUGGCAGGUCACCUCUUGCCCGUGGCCAGGAUGGCUCAGCCCGGUGCCCAGGAUCUGGGUCAGCGUCCCUGCCCCCUCCUCCCUCAUCAUGAGAUCCCAGAAGCCCUUUCUCUGCCACCAGAGCUGGGGUCUCUCUUUCCCACAAUCCCGUCCAGCCAACCAAGAUUCCUAGAAACAGAAUCUGUCUCUCAGGCUGCUUCCUUCUUCGGGGAAAUUGCUCUUUCCUGGUCUGGAGUCUCCUACAGACCCGCUGUCACCGGUCAACAGUGAGGAAGCAUAUUUCUGCUCCCUUCUGCGCCUGAUUCUGUACGGCCCCAGGACUCUGGGUGCCCUGAGUGAUGGGCUGAUGAGAACCUUUUAUAUCUGUGGUCAGCAGGGGUGGCAGCCCCAGCUUUCCCCUGUCCCCAGCUGUCCCUCCACACCUGCCAGCGCCUACUUGCCUGACCUGGUAAAGCCACGCCCACACCUGUGUUCCCCCAUUUACCAGGGGGAGAGGGUGAUAG
ensembl:lncRNA